CCUCAGUCUGCCGGCGGACGCCGGUGGGGGAGGACGCGCCGCCCGCGGCUCCUGUCAGGGCUCGGCUACCCGCGGGUCAGUCGCUUUACCGCCUCGCUGGCCCAGGGUUGCGCUCUGAAGGGUGCUGUCCGCCGGUGGUGGUGGCGCCCGGGCCCCUCUCGCAGCGGCGGAGCAGCGGUUAGCCGCGGGUAAAGCCCGUCUCGGAGGAAGAAGAGCCGCCAGAACCGACCUGCUUAGCAUGUCCUGCGCUGUAGAAGUGUUAGCAGAAAGUUAGAUGGCCUGGACCUGCGCCCGCCUCCACCAUCAUCCUGACCCUAUGGCUGAUGGGAAGAGCAGCUUCUUCUCCAGUGCCACCACCUGGACGAGAAGCUUUUCCAGCCCUACCAGGCCAGCAUUCCUAGCCGUCGUCCCCCUCAGGAGGGUGAAGCAGCAGCUGCCCCAAUCCUUCUUGGGGGAUUUAGGUACUGGGGACUGCGACGUUGCUGCAGUUUGAUGUGUGAGUUCUUCCCGACUGCAAAGUGUUCUUCCAGCCUGAACCACUGGAUGGAGCAGGAGGAAAAGAUGUGGUUUGAUUUCAGCUACAUUCCUCAAGAUGCUGUGUUCCCUGCCGAGCCAAGCCUGGCAGCAGUCCCCGUGCUCCUGUCACAGAGUGGUCAACGGAUCGCUGUGCCAUCAGCUAGUUUCUGCACUGACAACAGGCACCCCAAAAAUGGCAAAAGAAUAAACUUCUGGAGACUGGCGUCUACUCGUAAGCACAGCUCAAGGACCUUGGAGGCCCAGGGCACUUCUGAAAGCCACAGGGGACUAAGUGACUUGUUGGGGGUGGGGGUGGUGGUGUGCAAAAACCCUGUAGGGCUUUUUUGUCCCGAAAUAACUCGGGGUCUGAGCACAGAGGUCUGGCCCCUUCCCUCAGCUGCUCUGGUUGGGCCAGACUAAAAUGGAGAAGCUGUAAAACCCAGGUUUUGCUUUGUGAUGUGUCUUCCUGUGAGUAAAAGCCUCAUAACAAAGCCUUUAAUGGAUGUUGUAAACAAAUCAAUAUCUCCAGCUAUACAUCCGAAAUGAAGGAGGCUGAAGGAGCUAUGAAGGUUUAUAAUGUCCAAAUAAAUUACUCCUGCUGUGGCAGUAGCAAUGUGUGGAGCAUUUGAUUAUUCCCAGCCAUUAGUGAUGCUGGCAAGGACAGAAAUAUUCAUGCUCUGUAUUUAACUGGAAAUUAAGAGAAUGUAUCAUUUGGUGACACGAGCUUUUACAAAUGGCUGCUCCCCCUUUGGUCAGCUCCCCAACUAAUAAAUCACUGGCAGGACUUUGGGAAACUUGA